rnacentral:ncRNA from 1 species
GCCUUAUUGUUAGUUUUAAUUAGACCUACACAUGCAAGUUUCCGCUACCCAGUGAGAAUGCCCUUUAAACUUAAGAUUCAAGCUAAGGAGCUGGUAUCAGGCACACUAUUUGUAGCCUACAACACCUUGCUCAACCACACCCCCACGGGAUACAGCAGUGACUAACAUUAAGCUAUGAACGAAAGUUUGACUAAGUUAUAAUUAAUCUNAGGGUUGGUUAAUUUCGUGCCAGCCACCACGGUCAUACGAUUAACCCAAACUAACAAGCUCCGGCNGUAAAGAGUGUUCAAGCUAAACUCUAAAAUAAAGUUAAUAAUUGACUAAACUGUAAUACGCUCUAGUCAAUAUAAAAAUAAACAAUAAAAAUGACUUUAACAAUGCUGACUACACGACAACUGAGACACAAACUGGGAUUAGAUACCCCACUAUGCUCAGUCAUAAACUUAAAUAGUCUGACAACAAAACUAUUCGCCAGAGAACUACUAGCAAUCGCUUAAAACUCAAAGGACUUGGCGGUGCCCUAAACCCACCUAGAGGAGCCUGUUCUAUAAUCGAUAAACCCCGAUAAACCCGACCCUAUCUUGCCAAUACAGCCUAUAUACCGCCAUCGUCAGCCAACCUUAAAAAAGUACAACAGUAAGCAAAAUUACUUACCAUAAAAACGUUAGGUCAAGGUGUAGCAUAUGAUAAGGAAAGAAAUGGGCUACAUUCUCUAAGGCUAGAGUACAACGAAUCACAUUAUGAAACUAAAGUGCUUGAAGGAGGAUUUAGUAGUAAAUUAAGAAUAGAGAGCUUAAUUGAAUUAGGCAAUAGGGCG